AGUCCAUGAUGAUCAUCCAAAGGCUUGUUUCUCAAGAACAUUCGCAGUUGCUGCGUAAGAGCUUUAUAGCCUUUCCCCGGGUUUGAGAGCUUAUGCUGCUUUAUUCCUUCCUUGGGUGUCUGAGACU